GGGGUUUGAACACUAAAGCACCUCCCUCUGCACGUGCCUGAACAAUGUAAAUAUAGAUUACGUAAUAUUAAAAUAUGAGUGGAGGUUUCCUUUGUCUUUUGUAUAAUAACACUCAGAUGCAAAUGAUUUUAUGGGAAGGGUAAGUGUCUCCCAGACUCCUGAAAAACUGAUAAAAGCUGAACUUUCAGUCAGUGCAUGUGUUCAGUGACUAAUACAGCUGCAGUGUACCCUAUAACUGUUUUACUGAGGUGAUGGAGAUGCUGUAUGGACUCCUACUGAUGAUUAUUUCAUCUGUUAGUGGUCAGUCUUUGACCUCCUCAGAUUCUGUGGUGAAAAAGCCUGGAGACUCAGUGACUCUGUCCUGCACUGUGUCUGGAUUCUCAAUGAGCAGCUACUGGAUGCACUGGAUCCGUCAGAAACCAGGGAAAGCACUGGAGUGGAUUGGGAGUAUUGAUGGUGGCACUGGCACUAUUUUUGCUCAGUCUCUACAGGGCCAGUUCUCCAUCACCAAAGACACCAGCAAAAACAUGCUGUAUUUAGAGGUGAAAAGCCUGAAGACUGAAGACACAGCUGCUUAUUACUGUGCUAGAGACUCACAGUUACACAAAAGUCUGCAUGACUGAACAAAAACUAGUUAUGUGAUCUGAGGGUCCAAGAACAUGUUUCAGUACACUUCACUUUUUGUUAAUUCUUGUUAAUUCUCUGAGUGUUUUAGAAAUUGAUGUAAACUUGAAUAAAUCAAGAAAACUUCCAAACAGUAUAUAUUUUUUUCCAUAACAGUAUAGGGAUUUGU